rnacentral:tRNA from 1 species
GCCGGGAUAGCUCAGCCGGUUAGAGCGUGGGACUCAUAAGCCCAAGGUCGAGAGUUCGAUUCUCUCUCCCGGCA